UUCGAGCUUUUUAUCCCCGCACAAGAUUUUUAGGUUGAGCUUCACAAGAGAUUGGAUCUCAGUCUUAGCAUCAGAUUUCACCUCAACCCUUCUCUUAGUUACACUCUUUUCGACCUUCAGUUUCUCCUGAGGAUUCACAAUGCUAUUCGAGGAAGAACUGAUCUCUUUCUCAUGACCUACAGUAGUAGAAAUUGAUGUCAACCUGAUAGA
rnacentral:misc_RNA from 1 species